UCAACCUGGUUGAUCCUGCCAGUAGUCAUAUGCUUGUCUCAAAGAUUAACCCAUGCAUGUGUAAGUAUAGUAUCUACAGCGAAACUGCGAAUGGCUCAUUAAAACAGUUAUAGUUUAUUUGAUGGAUCCCUAUAUGGAUAACCGUAGUAAUUCUAGAGCUAAUACAUGCUUGAAAUGUCCGACUUGAAGAGGAC
rnacentral:rRNA from 1 species